AAUGAACGCUGGCGGCAGGCCUAACACAUGCAAGUCGAACGGAUCCUUCGGGAUUAGUGGCGGACGGGUGAGUAACGCGUGGGAACAUACCCAAAGGUACGGAAUAGCUUCGGGAAACUGGGAGUAAUACCGUAUGUGCUCGAAAGAGGAAAGAUUUAUCGCCUUUGGAUGGGCCCGCGUUGGAUUAGGUAGUUGGUGGGGUAAUGGCCUACCAAGCCGACGAUCCAUAGCUGGUUUGAGAGGAUGAUCAGCCACACUGGGACUGAGACACGGCCCAGACUCCUACGGGAGGCAGCAGUGGGGAAUCUUAGACAAUGGGGGAAACCCUGAUCUAGCCAUGCCGCGUGAUCGAUGAAGGCCUUAGGGUUGUAAAGAUCUUUCAGGUGGGAAGAUAAUGACUGUACCACCAGAAGAAGCCCCGGCUAACUCCGUGCCAGCAGCCGCCGUAA
rnacentral:rRNA from 1 species